AAUGUUUAAAAGUAGUUCGGUUUUUGUAGUCUGAAGAUGCUAUUGAUUACUGAAAAUGUUAGCUACUAAAUUAAAAAUUUUAGAUAUAAACUCAACUGCUAAGAAUACUUUGAAUUGUAUUAAAUUGAAGAGUAUAAACAGUAAGUUUGGCAAUAUGGACUGUGAAGAGCAGAGCCAGCUCGAGAUAGAACAGGUACGGAAAAUGUGUACGAUAAUCAGCAAAAAAAUGAUAAGAACAUAUAAACAUGGAAAUGCUUGGAUGAAUGCAUAUUAAACGGGGUAUACCCCAUGUCAAUUAGUAGAGUUAAAUUACUGAUCUAGUCCCAGUUGGUCCUCAGAAAGAUGAAACAAGUUUGCUCUAAGGUAGCAAUCACUGAUGCAAAAAGAAAAUACUUCCAAAUAUUCCGUGAUGAUAUAAAACUGUACAACAACCAAUUAGUGCAUAAAGAUGACAUUGCACAGUUUUUAAAUGUACUAGAAAACUAAAUGCUCUUAAGAACAGUCUUAGAAAGAAUUAAAUUAAGAAAAUUAAGUGGAUUUUUAAGCAGCAACUUAGAAUGAGGAAGAGGACACAAAUCAGUAUAGACCAGGAAAUAACCAUAGUUGAGGACAUUAUCACCAUAUGCAGAACAAAUCCUAAAGAAAGAUCCCUUGUGUGCUCUCUGAACCAAGACUAAUAUACUCAAUGAAAUGCCCAUAGUAGAGGACAUGCUAAGUAAUGUAAACAAACAGGAGAGAGAGAGAGGCUCAGAUGGACUUACAUAAAUCAAAACAAUGAGAAGGAAAAACAUCUAUGGCACUGAUGGAAGAGUAUUACACAUCAAACGUAGAGGUCGACUGGGACCGUGCUAAAUAAUUAAACAAACCUAAGGCCUGAUAAGAGAAUCGUUAGAGAUAGAAAAAAGAAGAAAUUAUGAAAAUAUCCUGAACAACAGACUCUAAGGAGAUGCCAGUCCCAUGGCUAUAUGCAAUCAAGAAAGCAGAUUGAUAGCAAGAAGCAGCGAUACCGUGAAGUACACUAUAUAAAGAAUUGUAAUGCACAGCAUAUUAUUAUUAUUCUUUUCAUGUUUAAUUGUUUAUUUUUAUUUAGUUGUAC
rnacentral:lncRNA from 1 species